AGGUCAUUUCAAAGAGGGCUUAUGGGACCAAAACCCAGGAGCUCUUAACGCUGUGACCAAAGAUUGAGUUCUUCAUUGGUUGUAAUAGUCACUCAAUAGUGCUAUGUUUUCCUAAUGGAGACACAAGA
ensembl:snoRNA SNORA25 small nucleolar RNA, H/ACA box 25